AAGGAGCACCACGAAGAGCACUCCAAUUGGUGGGGUGCGAGCCGUGAGGGGUCAUCGUCUGUAGUGGACGAAGACCGGGUGCACGACAACAAGCUAAGCCAGACACACUAUUGGGUCCUGAGGCAACACCCUCGGGUGCUGUCCCCCCAUCUUGGUGGUGGGGUGUGGUGUUUGAGAAUUGGAUAGUGGUUGCGAGCAUCAAAAUGUAUGCGUUGUCGUUCUCGGCAACGUGUUCUUUUUGUGCAAUUUUAUUCUUUGGUUUUUGUAGUGUUUGUAAGUGUCUAAGGGCGCAUGGUGGAUGCCUUGGCAUCGAGAGCCGAUGAAGGACGUGGGAGGCU
rnacentral:misc_RNA from 1 species